CGCCUCCGCGCUGAGGUCAGGAGUACUUCCGCGACGGUCGGGUCGGAUCGGCGAGCGAGCGGCGGUGGCCGCGGUGAGGGGCGGUGUCGGGGUUGUGGGGCUUCCGGCAGGCGAUGUUGUAGUCAUGUCAGAUAAGGAUCCUCCAGAGUCUCCAGUGGUAACCGGAGUAGCUUCGACCCUUAAAGAUGAGAACUGUGAGCCAGUGGAGAAGCCAGAGGAUAAAUCUCAGCCUGUAGUGUCCACCCGGAAAAGACCAGAGACCAAACCUUCCAGUGACCUUGAGGCUUCUGCUCUUCCUGCUCAGGUUUCACUGGCUGUAGCCAAAGAGACUGCUUCUAAAGAUGUACCUCAGACUGGGUGGGGUUAUUGGGGCAGUUGGGGCAAGUCUCUGCUCUCCUCAGCCUCAGCUACGGUAGCUACAGUAGGACAAGGUAUUUCAAAUGUCAUUGAGAAGGCAGAGACUUCUCUUGGGAUUCCUAGCCCCACUGAAAUUUCAGCUGAAGUCAAGCAAGCAGCAGGAGAAAAAAAUGCUGGUGAGAAUGGAAGCUUACUAGUGGCUGCACCAUUCGGGAUGCUCUCGACCAUCUCUACAGCUGUGCAGAGCACGGGCAAGAGCGUUAUCAGUGGGGGCUUGGAUGCCUUGGAAUUCAUUGGGAAGAAGACAAUGGAUGUCAUAGCAGAAGGGGACCCUGGAUUUAAAAGAACCAAGGGCCUGAUGAAUCGGACUUCUACGCUGUCUCAGGUUUUACGAGAGGCAAAGGAUAAAGAAGAGCAGCGGCCUUCCAAUGAAGUAACCAUGGAAACAGACAAGAAAACUCAUUAUGGGCUACUCUUUGAUGAGUUUCAAGGCCUUUCACAUCUAGAAGCUCUGGAGAUGCUUUCCCGAGAAAGUGAGAUAAAGGUGAAAUCUAUUCUUAGUUCUCUGAGUGGAGAAGAACUACAGACAACUAGACUUGAGCUAGAGCAGCUCAAAGAAGUGUUUUCCCUAGCAGAGUUCUGUGAGGAAGAGGAGGAGGAGAGACAAGGGGAUGACAAUUUUACCAAGGAGAUAACAGAUCUGUUUGCUCAGCUUCACGUCUCCUCCCGACCAGAGAAGCUUGCCAGGGUAAGUUACUCCCUUAUGGGGAUUUCCAUUAUUUCAUUUAUAAUAUUUUAAUGGGUAGUCAGUCAGGUGUGGUGACACAUGCCUGUGAUCCCACCACUUCGGAGGCUGAAGGCAGAGGGAUUGCAAGUUCAAAGUCAACUUGAGCUAUAUAGCAAGAGCUUGUCUUAACCUCCUGGCAAUACAUACAUAUAAUGAGCAUACGAUUAUAAUUUUCUGGCCGAUGGGAUUGCCAGCAUGGAGGAAGUAUUCUUCUUGAUAGUUCUAGAAAAGGAUCCCACAAAAUUUCCCUGUCUGCUGUUCUCUAGGUCAGUGUGUAGAGCCCAUGUCUCUCUUCCCAGCACGGGUCCCAUCCUGACCUGUUUUUUGGAAUACUUUGUUUAAAUGCUUCCUUGAGCCUGUAGAGUUGGUCAUUUAAUAGUUGGCAGUACUGACUAACCUUUAUGGGAUCAGAGAUGAUGAGGAUGGGCCCUGCCUGCGCAGUGCUGCAGCUCGGCAUUGCUGUGACUCCAGACAGUGACUCCACUGGUGACCAUCUAAAAUUCGGGAAUGAGAGUCCCAUGGCUGAGCUGUGGUGGUGAUGUUGAGAUAUCAUGUGUUUGGAAUGAGUCUUGUCAGAGCUCAGAGGAGGGACUUCACAUAUAUUCCACUGCUCAUGAGGUACUGCUUCCUGCCUCUGUAUCCACCUUUCCUAUCUCUGAACAAUUCCAGCAGCUGUUAGCAACAGGCAGGCAUUGUUGUCUGGCCAUGAGAGCUGCUGGGUGUGUGGAGUCAGCACAGCCAUCUUACUUACCUCCAAGCAGGUAAGGCGUGAGAGACACUGGCCUGGGCAGACGGUGCCUUCCUCAGCGAAGCCUUGUAGGCUGUGCUCAGCAGCUGCCUCAAGAACUCAGCUCCUCACAACUUUACAUCCCUGGGACUGAAACUCCUGACACCACAGCUCAAGGGAGGAAAGUCUUACUUUAGCUCACAUUUUCAGAGGCUCUUAGUCUACCAUAGUGGGGAGGGCAUGGCAAUUCAGCCCUGACUGGAUGGUGCCAGGAGUGCGAGGUGGUGGUUGUUCCCGUAGCAGUAGAGGAUGGUCUGGGCCAUACCCUUCAGAGUCUCCUCACCCCAGGGACCUUGUAGGCUCCACCUCUGAAGGGCUUCACAGACUGCCAUUAUAGUGCCACCAGCUGGAAACUGUGUCCCAAAUAUGAGCCCUUAGGGGUCAUUUCACAUUCAAAACAUGACAUUGCUUAUAGCAUUUUGGAAACAGCAUCAAACUGAGAAAAAAGUUGUAAAAACAGUACUAACAGCACCUGAUGCGCUCGCUAGUGCUGGCACGCUACUUCUAGUGUCUAACCACAGGCACCCGCACUGAAGUCACAUGAACCUCACCGUUUGAGAGUAAAUAGGAAGAUGAGGCUAUCCCUUUGCAUAACCACAGUACAGUUGUCACUUCAGCAUAUUUAACACUGACACCAGACUUUGACUUCAUCUGUUCUCCACAUGUAUCCACUGACUGUCUUAGUCAGUGUUCGGUUGCUGUGAAGAGACACGAUGACCACACCUAUAAAACAAAGCAUUUAAUUGGGGUAGGGGAUUUACAGUAUCAGAGGCUUCGUCCAUUAUUGUCAAGGCAGGGAGCAUGGUGGCACGCAAGAUGCUGGAGCAGUCACUGAGAGCUACAUCCUGAUCUCUUCUAGCCAGCAAAGAAACAGGGCCUAGCACUUUAGCACAGGCUUUUGAAACCUCAAAACCCACCUCCAUUGACACACAUUGACAAAAGGCCACACCUCCUAACCUUCUAGUUCCCUGACUAAGCAUUGAAAUGUGGGAGCCCGUGGGAGCCAUUGUUAUUCAGACCAUCCCGCCCACUCCCCUGGAGCCCCUGGGUUUGAACUAGCUUUACUUGUCUAGUUUAGACUCCUUUCAUCUAUAGUGGUUCCUCAGCCCUUAGCUUUCAUGAUGUGUAUCUUUUUGAAAAACACAACUCUCCCUUCCCCCACACUAAAAGUAAAACAUUCCCAGGCUGCUACCUGUACUGGGGUUUGUCUAAGGCUUUCUCUCUUUUAUUAGUUUGUACAUUCCAGGGCCAGAAUCCUGUGUAAGUGAUAGCUCGUCACAUCUGCAGGGGUGAGAUGUUUGUCUGUUUAUUAUUGGUGAUGUGUCGCACAAUUCUCUGUAGAGUUAUGAUUUAUUUCCCUUUGCUGCUGGUAAGCUGCCGUGAAGAGACUGGUAAAGAUCCUACGACAGUCUUCCUACUCCCACUCCUCAUAGUUUUCUUUUUUUUUCUUUCCGUAUGUCUGGAACUGGGGAUUCUUCCUUAAAUUUAGCAUCUGUUCUGAGUCUUUUGAGACAUGUCACCCAGGUUGGCUUUGAACUCCCGUUGUAGCUGAGGGAGACCUUGAACUCCUGAUCCCCUUGCCUCCACCUCCCCAGUGCUGGGAAAGGGGCAUAUGCUACCAUCCUGGUUUAUGCAGUCUAAGGACGGAGCCCAGGGCUCUGUGUAUACCAGGCACUCCUACCAACUGAGCUCUGUUUCCAGCCCUUCUGGUCUUGAUUACAUACACUGGUGUCUUCUAACUUGUUUAUAUUCUGUACUCUGGUCUUGAUAGAUCUAAUACACUCAGAUUAUCCCUGUUUCUGCACUUUGGUAUAAUCCACUGUUUGUUUUUGUGUGUGCUACAUGUACAUGUGCAUAUAGAGGUCAUAGGUUGAAGUCAGUUGUCUUCUAGUCAUUUUUCCAUUUUAUUUUUUGAGAUAAGGUCUUUUGCUGGACCCGAGGCUUACUGAUCUGGCUAGCUGGAUACCAGGGAAAUCCUCUAGUCUCUGGCUCACUAAUGCUGGGAUUAUAGGCGUGAAUCACUGUGGCUGGCUGUUUGCCAAUUUAAUCAUCUCUCUAUCCCCUUCUGUUUACUUUUUUUUUUUGAAACAGAGAGUUAAUAUUUAAGUAAUGUGAAGGUUUUCUUUUUCAGUAUUAGAUUGGAUUGUUCUUGCAGGCUCUUUGGGAGAACAACUAUUCUGAAGAGGAAAGAACUCUGAGACAAACGAAUACCAGGUUUUCUUCUGCUCAUUCAUGUUGUAGCCUUGGUAACAGCAUUACUCAGAGCACUUAAAGGCUCAAGUCCAGUGCCAUAUAACUAUAGUCUAGUUGGAAUGAUUUGUGAUCAUUUGUGAUCUCUGUUGCCUGGCUCAGCCUUUUUUUAGAGUUUAAUUAAUUUAUCUUUUUUGUUUUUUGAGAAGGGUUUCUUUGUGUAGCCCUGGCUGUCUUUGAACUCACUCUGUAGACUGAACUGGCCUGGAACUCACAGCCUCCCAAGUGCUGGAAUUUAAGGCAAGAAAUACAGCCUACAAAUGGAUCAGAACAUCUCUGGCUAGGCCAGUAGCAGAGAAAGAAGAAGGAGAAAAAGAGUCGGAGGCAGGAAAUACCGAGGAAGCCCAGAAACAUUCAAUAGAGGAUAUCCAUGCAUUUGCAAUCCGGAGCUUAGCAGAGUUGACUGCCUGCUCAAUAGAAUUGUUCCACAAAACAGCAGCAUUGGUUUUGCAUGGCCAGAAGCAGGAGGUGACAGCCUUAGAGAGGAGCCAGACUCUCUCCCAGAUGACAGUCAUGCUGUGUAAAGACCUGGCCUCGCUGUCUAAAGAGUUCACCACCUGCCUGACCACAGCUGGGGUCAGAGAGAAGGCAGAUGUUCUUAAUCCAGUCAUCACUGCAGUGUUUCUAGAGGCCUCAAACAGCGCCUCUUACAUUCAAGAUGCCUUCCAACUCCUCCUGCCUGUGCUGCAGAUCUCUCUCAUCGAGAGCAAGACAGAGUCAUCCACGUGUGAGCCACAGUCCAGAGACCUCUGACAGAACCCUGAGGAGCAGAGAAGAGUCCUACUGAGAUGGUGAUAGCCAAGAAAUCUGACUUUGCUCAGGGAGCCCUGCAGCCAGAGCGAGGCAUAGUACUACGUGUGUGAAAGGCCAGCAGGGCGCAGGCUCACAGGGGUGCUUGCUUCUCUGCGUAGCUGAUGCGCUCUGCUGCUCACACUGCUCUUCCAGCCUUAUAAGUAAUAAAUUAUUAAAAAAAAAAAAAGAAAGAAAGAAAGAAGAAAAACCAAAUGUAUUUCAGGAAAGUCAGCAGGAUAUUCUGGCAAAAAUGCUGGACUUUCUUAGCUCAGAAAACACUAUAGACUGUUAUGGAUGUCAUUUGCAGCCAGUGGUAAAAUUGUUAAGCAGGAGAGAACAAAACCUCAGUUUGGUGUCCUGGGGUUUAUGACAUUCGUCGUAGCCUGGGCUUUCUCCUUUCCAGAAUAAAGCCUGUGGCUUCUAGAGAACUGAGACUACAUUAGCCCUAAGUGAGAUGGCCGGACAGGGCUGUCUAGAUGUUUCGCAUGGAGUAGAAACUCGUAGCCGUGUGUAUGAACCACAGGGAAAUGCCCUUUGGCUUCAAAUGCCUCUCUUCCCAGUAGACCAUGCAGUCUGCAGGUGCUCUGAGUCUCUUCAGGCUGCAUUGUGCAUGCCCUGCCUGAGGCUGCACUCAUGCAGGCACAUCUUUCAGCUGCCAACUCCAGAGCAGGAGGGAGGAGUCUUUUGGUGAUGGGGUUUUGUGGAGUCCUGUGAAGAUGUUCACUUACAGCAGGAUGUAGCCUCCCAAGUCCCCUCAUUGUUCCUCUGUUGUCGUGUGUUUGUUACUGUGCUUGGAGAGGAGCUCACCUGCCGUCCGUACUCUCGAGCCCUCCUCGCAGUUUUCAGCAGUUCAAAGCUAUUUUGGUAUCCAGGCCUUUUGAAAAUGUUCAUUAACUUUGUGAUUUUUAGUGGCUCCGGCAACUUUGGAGAGCCCUGUUCUUUAUCUUUGAAAACCAUUACAAUAAAAUAUAAUUAUACCUAC